rnacentral:lncRNA from 1 species
AAUUUAGUUAUUUUAGUUAUUUAAUGGGGAUAAUGAGAAUUUUUAAUAAUUAGUCUAUAACUAUUUUAUUUAAUUGGUUGAAAUAAAAUAGAAGAGUAGAAAUAAUAGGGAGAAAAAGAAGAAUAUUAUUAGUAUUAUUUUAUUAAAAGAAAAUUAGAGCCAAGAGGGGUAUGAUGGUAAAUAAGAUGAUAAAUGAGGGCAAUGAUGGAAGUUCCUAAUUGAGGGGGAUUAGGUUAAUGAUAAAAAG